rnacentral:rRNA from 1 species
GACGGAGGGGGCUAGCGUUGUUCGGAAUUAUUGGGCGUAAAGGGUGCGUAGGCGGCGCGGUAAGUCGGGUGUGAAAUCUUGGAGCUUAACUCCGAAACUGCAUUCGAUACUGCCGUGCUUGAGGACUGGAGAGGAGACUGGAAUUUACGGUGUAGCGGUGAAAUGCGUAGAUAUCGUAAGGAAGACCAGUGGCGAAGGCGGGUCUCUGGACAGUUCCUGACGCUGAGGCACGAAGGCCAGGGAGCAAACGGG